CAGCGCAGACGUCAGAUUUAUAGGUUAUACUCCGGGCGACGAAGCGAAACAGUCAGAAUUUGAGGAAUUACAGGGGUGGAGACGCACGCGGAAGAUAUAGUGGUUUUCGCAGAAACCGUGGAGGAACAUGACAGAAUCUUGGAUCAAGUUUUGAAAAAAUUAAAAGAAGCUGGUGUUACUAUUAAUAGGGAUAAAUGUCGUAUUGGGGUAGAAGAAAUAACGUUUUUGGGACACCGAGUCUCAAAAGAAGGAAUGGUAAAUUAUGCAGCUAAGUUUAUUCCAAAUAAAUCUGAAAUUAUAGAACCGUUAAAUUCAUUGUUACCUGAUAAUGUACAAUUUGUCUGGUUUGAUAAACAGCAGGAAGCGUUCGAUAAGAUAAAAACUGUAUUACAGCACGCGCCGGUAUUAACUCACUUCGAUUAUAAUAAAACAAACAUUAUUUAAGCAGACGCGUCAAGUUAUGAGAUCGGGGGAGCUUUGAUUCAGGAAGAAGGUACGGGCGAAAGAAAAGUAGUUGCUUAUAUGUCAAAAAAGCUUACGGUGGGAGAGCAAAAAUAUAGUCAGAUAGAGAAAGAAGCUUUGAGUUUAGCUUAUUCAGCAGAAA